UUGCUUGUUCUCAAAGAUUAAGCCAUGCAUGUGUAAGUACACACCUUCCUUUUGGCGAAACCGCAAACGGCUCAUUAAAUCAGUCAUAAUUUAUUGGAUGGUGUCUAUCCAGUACUCGGAUAACCGUGGCAAUUCUAGAGCUAAUACGUGCAACUGAGCUCCGACCCCGGGGCGCUUAACGGCGUUUCGGGGGAAGGGCGCAAUUAUUGGAAUCAUAAACCGAGCGGGCUCUCGAGUCCGUCCCAAAAAUCGGUAAUGAUGACUCUGGAUAACUUUGCCGAGCGAUUAGGCCUUCGAGCCGUCGCUGCAUCUUUCGAGUGACUGCCUUAUCAGCUUUCGAUUGUAGGCUAUACGCUUACGAUGGCUGUAACGGGUAACGGGGAAUCAGGGUUCGAUUCCGGAGAGGGAGCCUGAGAAACGGCUACCACAUCUAAGGAAGGCAGCAGGCACGCAAAUUACCCACUCCUGGCACGGGGAGGUAGUGACGAUAAAUAACGAUGCGGGACUCUUCCGAGGCCUCGCAAUCGGAAUGAGUUUACUCUAAAAACUUGGACGAGGAUCCAUUGGAGGGCAAGUCUGGUGCCAGCAGCCGCGGUAAUUCCAGCUCCAAUAGCGUAUAUUAAAGUUGCUGCGGUUAAAAAGCUCGUAGUUGGAUUUUCGGUCUGUACCGGCGGCCCACCCAAGGCGCGCCCCCGAAGACGUCCUAUCGGUUAGGGAGUGACGAUCGGCUCGCGGCCUUUUUCGUUCGUCCGACUUCGCAUCAUGGUGCCGGGGGGGCUCGUUCUUCCCCCACCGUGCUCUGUGUCGUCGGCGACGUUAAUCCGUUGCGUCCGAACCCGUUACCCCCGCCGGGGUCGUCUAGUGGGUCUCCGCGCCCGGUGGUACAACCGUCCGGCUACGGAUUUGUUAAAAUCCGCCGGCUCUCACGGGGUGCUCUUUACCGAGUGUCUCGCGUGGCCGACGACGUUCACUUUGAAAAAAUUAGAGUGCUCAAAGCAGGCAAAAAUCUUCGCCUGAAUUAUGAUGCAUGGAAUGAUGGAACAGGACCUCGGUUCUGCAUCUUUUCUCUCGGUUUUUCCGGAACCCGAGGUAAUGAUUAAAGGGAACGGACGGGGGCAUUAGUAUUGCGACGCUAGAGGUGAAAUUCUUGGACCGUCGCAAGACUAACUACUGCGAAAGCAUUUGCCAAGAACGCUUUCAUUAAUCAAGAACGAAAGUUAGAGGAUCGAAGGCGAUCAGAUACCGCCCUAGUUCUAACCUUAAACGAUGCUGACUAGCGAUCCGCUUAAGUCAUUCCCACGACUGAGCGGGCCGCCCCCGGGAAACCGAAGUUUUUGGGUUCCGGGGGAAGUAUGGUUGCAAAGCUGAAACUUAAAGGAAUUGACGGAAGGGCACCACCAGGAGUGGAGCCUGCGGCUUAAUUUGACUCAACACGGGAAACCUCACCAGGCCCAGACACCGGAAGGAUUGACAGAUUGAGAGCUCUUUCUCGAUUCGGUGGUUGGUGGUGCAUGGCCGUUCUUAGUUGGUGGAGCGAUCUGUCUGGUUGAUUCCGAUAACGAACGAGACUCUACCCUACUAACUAGUCGGUGGAUCGUUUCCCGAGACGGGUUCCCUUCCGGGGCGGUUUCGGCGCGGGGUUUGGUGGCGUUCCUCUCAUGUCGUAGUUCACUCUCGCUCCUCACUUCUUCCUUCCCACGCGUGCGUUAGGCGUCCGCGCCGUCGGCGAUGUCGUUCUUCUCUUUACGGGGAAGGGCGCUCGUCUUCGGCGUUAGGACGGCUUCGUCGCUGGGUUGGUGGUUGUGGCGGCGCGGUUUGGGCUCGGUAUUGAUGUGCGUCGCUCCCCGCGUUCGCUGUAUUCCUCCCGUGUAGGGCCCAACGAGGGGCGUCCAUCGUAACGUCUUCUUAGAGGGAUCGGCGGCGUCUAGUCGCACGAGAGAGAGCAAUAACAGGUCUGUGAUGCCCUUAGAUGUUCUGGGCCGCACGCGCGCUACAAUGCAGGGAGCAGCGUGCUUUCCCCCUCCGAAAGGAGUGGGUAACCCGGUGAAACCCCUUCCCGAUUGGGAUUGGGGCUUGCAAAUGUUUCCCAUGAACGAGGAAUUCCCAGUAAGCGUAAGUCAUUAGCUUGCGAUGAUUACGUCCCUGCCCUUUGUACACACCGCCCGUCGCUACUACCGAUUGAAUGAUUCAGUGAGGGCGUCGGACCAGCGCCCUCGGCAGCUCUCGGCUCGAUAGUUCCGUUUAAAAGCCUCUCCUCCCAUUCUCUUCCCCCUCCGUCGUCGUUGAGCCCUUCCGGGUUUCUUCGCGCGCGCGUGAGUGGGGGCGGUCUAAGGGUUGAGAAAGUUUUGGAACAGACCGAAUGGGCGCCCCGGGCUCGCCGGAAAGACGUCCGAACUUGAUCAUUAAAGGAAGUAAAGUCGUAACAAGGUUGCCGUAAGUG
rnacentral:rRNA from 1 species